UACGGGGGGGGCAAGCGUUGUUCGGAAUUACUGGGCGUAAAGGGCGCGCAGGCGGCUUAUUUUGUCAGGCGUGAAAGCCCCGGGCUUAACCUGGGAACUGCGUUUGAUACGGAUGGGCUAGAGUUCGGGAGAGGAGAGUGGAAUUCCCAGUGUAGAGGUGAAAUUCGUAGAUAUUCGCAAGAACACCAGUGGCGAAGGCGGCUCACUGGCCCGAUACUGACGCUGAGGCACGAAAGCGUGGGGAGCAAACAGG
rnacentral:rRNA from 1 species